rnacentral:rRNA from 1 species
UGGGGAAUUGUUCGCAAUGGGCGCAAGCCUGACGACGCAACGCCGCGUGGAGGAUGAAGAUCCUCGGGUCGUAAACUCCUGUCGAGUGGGAAGAACGGUCUGCGGGUGAAUAGUCCGCGGAAGUGACGGUACCACUAAAGGAAGCCCCGGCUAACUCCGUGCCAGCAGCCGCGGUAAUACGGGGGGGCUAGCGUUGUUCGGAAUUACUGGGCGUAAAGGGCUCGUAGGCGGCCAACUAAGUCAGACGUGAAAUCCCUCGGCUUAACCGGGGAACUGCGUCUGAUACUGGAUGGCUUGAAUCCGGGAGAGGGAUGCGGAAUUCCAGGUGUAGCGGUGAAAUGCGUAGAUAUCUGGAGGAACACCGGUGGCGAAGGCGGCAUCCUGGACCGGCAUUGACGCUGAUGAGCGAAAGCCAGGGGAGCAAACGGGAUUAGAUACCCCGGUAGUCCUGGCCCUAAACGAUGAAUGCUUGGUGUGGCGGGUAUCGAUCCCUGCCGUGCCGAAGCUAACG